rnacentral:sRNA from 1 species
UUUAAUGACGGAGUAUUUUAGAACCAUAAAUAACUAAUGAGAUAUUGUUUUUCCCUGUACCAAUAACUAGAUUCUGACCCGUACAUACGUGCGGGAUUUCUUAUUUUAGGAAAUAUAUUGGAAUACAUUUUGAGUGAAAGAUAUUGUAAUAUAUAAACUAGAUUUUAACCCGCGGUAUACCGCGAGACGAUUUAUUUUUUUAAAGUAAUAUAUAUUAAAAUUUGCAAAUUUUAUUUUUAAAAAAUAUUUAUAUUUUAAAGUUUAUAAUUGUUAUUAAAAA